GCUCGGCUUCGUCAAGGUCCUUGAGUGGACUGCUUCUAUCUUUAGAGUCACCUUGAAGGAAACUAUUCCUUCAUUCAUUUAUCAUUUAUGGAACACUUUAAACUUCUACUACAUGCCAAGACACCAUUUUAGGCUUUCAGAUGUAUCGUGAGCAAAAUAUAAAAAACUCUCUGCCCUUGGGGGAUUCACAUUCUAAUCUGAGACAAAUCCAUAUAUGACAUACAUAAUAAAGAAGCACAACAUUAGAGAUGGUGAGGGUUUAAGGGCCACUUCUGGGGGUUUUAAGGGCCAAAUAGAAACUCAAGUGAGUUGUCCUACCACAGUUAGUGAGAAUAAAACUAUUACAGCUACUUUUGGUUACCCAUUCAGGUUGAAUGAGGCAUCAUUUGAGCCACCUCCUGGUGUAAGCGUGUGAUGUAAAUUGGAAAAGUCACAUCCUCCUAACCAAUUACUCUUCUUCUGCACAGUUCUAUGCUCCCUUUGCAGUCUUUGUGCUCCUGUACUGCACUGAUACCCUUCUGCUUUAUGCUGGCUACACGAACCUAUAGCUGGAUAGUUGUAAACUUCCUAUGAUUGACUUUGUGGUUGGUGAGCACUUCAACCUGGGCUAAAGCUGACAGGUAUUAAA
rnacentral:lncRNA from 1 species